GGUCACUUCUAUCGUCUUUCUUAAACACCAAAACCAUUCUCACUUUGCCAUCGUCCAAGAACACCGACCUUCCACCUUCUGGCACCGUUUUCCGGCAACUCGGUCGGCACCGUCCUCCGUUCUUUCUAAAUCGUAUAGUUCUGUUUCAAAUACAAAGUUGCGGGGACUUCAAGCCAUUAAUUUUUCAUCCUUUUCUUAUUUCUUUCUCAAAUGGAAACUAAAUCCUCCACAAACUUACUAGAUCAAUUAGUGUAUCCGAGAGAUGUGGUUCUUGACCUCUACCAUGACAAACCAGACCAUUAAGCUUGGAGGCCGUUUACGUCAGGAUGAUGAUGUGAUUUCUGUAAUGAAGGCAGACAAGCUUAGGUUCUCCAAGCCUAAUAAAUACUGGGUUGAAAGCUCUCAAAAGAGGUAUUGCCUCAUGCAGAGGAUUCGGUUCUUGGAAUAGUUGUUGACUCCAGAUCAGAUGCAGGCACUUUGCUUUAUGUGCGGGUUGUAAAAGCAAACCCUGAAUAAAUCCUGAGCUGUCAUGCACUGAUGCUAUAGGAGAGUUUAGUGCCCUAAAAGAAGGCUAUAUGUUCGAGUGUUCAACCGGUCUCUCAAGGAUGCUUCUCAGCUCACUCACAUGUCCAGUACUUGAUACAUUAGCGAAGAAACUGUCUUUCGAGAUAGCAGUUGGC